rnacentral:rRNA from 1 species
GACGUAGGGCGCGAGCGUUGUCCGGAUUUAUUGGGCGUAAAGAGCUCGUAGGCGGCUUGUCGCGUCGAAUGUGAAAACCCGAGGCUCAACUUCGGGCUUGCAUUCGAUACGGGCAGGCUAGAGUUCGGUAGGGGAGACUGGAAUUCCUGGUGUAGCGGUGAAAUGCGCAGAUAUCAGGAGGAACACCGGUGGCGAAGGCGGGUCUCUGGGCCGAUACUGACGCUGAGGAGCGAAAGCAUGGGUAGCGAACAGG